AGCAGUCGCGGUAAUUCCAGCUCCAAUAGCGUAUAUUAAAGUUGUUGCAGUUAAAAAGCUCGUAGUUGAAUUUCGGGGUCAGUAGGUUGGUCGUGCCACUGGUAUGCACUGGUCUCACUGAUUCCUCCUUCCUGAUGAACCGUAAUGCCAUUAAUUUGGUGUUGCGGGGAAUCUGGACUGUUACUUUGAAAAAUUAGAGUGUUUAAAGCAGGCUAACGCUUGAAUACAUUAGCAUGGAAUAAUGAAAUAGGACGAUCGAUCCUAUUUUGUUGGUUUCUAGGAUUGACGUAAUGAUUAAUAGGGAUAGUUGGGGGCAUUAGUAUUCAAUUGUCAGAGGUGAAAUUCUUGGAUUUAUUGAAGACUAACUACUGCGAAAGCAUUUGCCAAGGAUGUUUUCAUUAAUCAAGAACGAAAGUUAGGGGAUCGAAGACGAUCAGAUACCGUCGUAGUCUUAACCAUAAACUAUGCCGACUAGGGAUCGGAUGAUGUUAAUUUUUAAUGUA
rnacentral:rRNA from 1 species